AGUGAACGCUGGCGGUAGGCCUAACACAUGCAAGUCGAACGGCAGCACAGUAAGAGCUUGCUCUUACGGGUGGCGAGUGGCGGACGGGUGAGGAAUACAUCGGAAUCUACUUUUUCGUGGGGGAUAACGUAGGGAAACUUACGCUAAUACCGCAUACGACCUACGGGUGAAAGCAGGGGAUCUUCGGACCUUGCGCGAUUGAAUGAGCCGAUGUCGGAUUAGCUAGUUGGCGGGGUAAAGGCCCACCAAGGCGACGAUCCGUAGCUGGUCUGAGAGGAUGAUCAGCCACACUGGAACUGAGACACGGUCCAGACUCCUACGGGAGGCAGCAGUGGGGAAUAUUGGACAAUGGGCGCAAGCCUGAUCCAGCCAUACCGCGUGGGCGAAGAAGGCCUUCGGGUUGUAAAGCCCUUUUGUUGGGAAAGAAAAGCAGCAGGUUAAUACCCCGCUGUUCUGACGGUACCCAAAGAAUAAGCACCGGCUGACUUCGUG
rnacentral:rRNA from 1 species